GGGGCUGUAGCUCAGCUGGGAGAGCGCUUGACUGGCAGUCAAGAGGUAGCGGGUUCGAACCCCGCCAGCUCCACCA
rnacentral:tRNA from 1 species